AGGCACAGAGGAAGCACCGCAGCACCUAGCUCGACUGCAAGGCCGAAAAGAAAUAUUUUAUCCUCUCUUCCCCCUUCCUGUCUUUUUCCUCAUUGAAUCUUUUCUUUUUCCCUCACAUCGACCAAAAUCCUUUAAGCAGGAAAACAUCCUACAAUAACGAAGUUUACAGAUAAGCAAACAAACCUGAGAGUUAAUUCCUAGAAAACUGUCCCAAUAGAAGUGCUUUAUGCUGAAACAAAGGGAUGCCACAUACGGAGUACGAGUACCAGGAGGGGCUCAAAGUACAGCUGGAAGGGAAGAUAUAUUGUUGGCAAAGAUUUUUCUCCCAUUCCAUAUGCCGACUAUUCAAUCUGUUUUUACUUUGCGGUGCAGAAAUCUUUUAAAUUCCCAGAAGAGGACACUGAAUUUCCUGUACUGAAGCUACAGAUGGUUGUGAGCCACCAUGCUGGGAACCAAACCUGGGCCUUCUGGAAGAGCAGCCAGUCCUCGUCACCACAGAGCAUCCUACCAGUCCCUCUUGGAAGUAUUCCCUUUAGCAUCCUUUACACUUAUUGCCCCCAACUAGGACCACUUCAGACGGCACGCUGAAGGUCAAUGCAGAACAUGGAUAACCUUGUCUUCUUCGGUGAAUUUUGUUUUCUCCAAUUCAGAAUUAUUUUGGCUAUUGGUCUGUUUCUUCUGCCCUCAGUUCUGUCUGGACUUUUUUUUUUUUUUUUU
rnacentral:misc_RNA from 1 species